UACAGAGGUCUCAAGCGUUGUUCGGAUUCAUUGGGCGUAAAGGGUGCGUAGGCGGCGCGGUAAGUCGGGUGUGAAAUCUCAGAGCUCAACUCUGAAACUGCACUCGAUACUGCUUUGCUUGAGGACCGGAGAGGAGAUUGGAAUUCCUGGUGUAGCGGUGAAAUGCGCAGAUAUCAGGAGGAACACCGAUGGCGAAGGCAGCUCGCUGGGACGGUACUGACGCUGAGGCGCGAAAGCGUGGGGAGCAAACAGG
rnacentral:rRNA from 1 species